UUAAAGGAAUUGACGGAAGGGCACCACCAGGAGUGGAGCCUGCGGCUUAAUUUGACUCAACACGGGAAACCUCACCAGGCCCGGACACCAGAAGGAUUGACAGAUUAAGAGCUCUUUCUCGAUUUGGUGGGUGGUGGUGCAUGGCCGUUCUUAGUUGGUGGAGUGAUUUGUCUGGUUAAUUCCGGUAACGAACGAGACUCUGGCCUACUAAAUAGUCGACGGGCGUUUUUGUGCAUGGGCCCCGUUCGACAAUGUCUUCUUAGAGGGAUGAGCAGCGAGUAUAGCUGCAGGAGAUUGAGCAAUAACAGGUCUGUGAUGCCCUUAGAUGUCCUGGGCCGCACGCGCGCUACACUGAAUGGGUUAGCGGGUUCUCCUUCUCCGAGAGGAGCGGGAAAUCGCGUGAAAACCAUUCGUGAUAGGGAUUGGGGCUUGCAAUUGUUUCCCAUGAACGAGGAAUUCCCAGUAAGCGCAAGUCAUCAGCUUGCGUUGAUUAAGUCCCUGCCCUUUGUACACACCGCCCGUCGCUACUACCGAUUGAAUGAUUUAGUGAGGCCUUCGGACUGGCGGUCUUGGACUGGGUUCCAUCUGCUAUCUAACUCCAGCAAUGGGGGGCUGUGGACUCGCCAUGACGAGACGGAAAGAUGUCCAAACUUGAUCAUUUAGAGGAAGUAAAAGUCGUAACAAGGUUUCC
rnacentral:rRNA from 1 species